rnacentral:rRNA from 1 species
UACGGGAGGCAGCAGUGGGGAAUAUUGCACAAUGGGCGCAAGCCUGAUGCAGCCAUGCCGCGUGUAUGAAGAAGGCCUUCGGGUUGUAAAGUACUUUCAGUCGUGAGGAAGGUGUUAAGGUUAAUAACCUUAGCAAUUGACGUUAGCGACAGAAGAAGUACCGGCUAACUCCGUGCCAGCAGCCGCGGUAAUACGGAGGGUGCGAGCGUUAAUCGGAAUUACUGGGCGUAAAGGGCACGCAGGCGGUUAAUUAAGUUGGAUGUGAAAUCCCCGGGCUUAACCUGGGAAUGGCAUUCAAGACUGGUUAGCUAGAGUCUUGUAGAGGGGGUUAGAAUUCCAUGUGUAGCGGUGAAAUGCGUAGAGAUGUGGAGGAAUACCGGUGGCGAAGGCGGCCCCUGGACAAAGACUGACGCUCAUGUGCGAAAGCGUGGGGAGCAAACAGGGAUUAGAUACC